rnacentral:rRNA from 1 species
UACAGAGGUCUCAAGCGUUGUUCGGAUUCAUUGGGCGUAAAGGGCGUGUAGGCGGCGGGGUAAGUCGGGUGUGAAAUCUCAGAGCUCAACUCUGAAAUGGCACUUGAUACUGCUCUGCUAGAGGACUGGAGAGGAGAUUGGAAUUCACGGUGUAGCAGUGAAAUGCGUAGAUAUCGUGAGGAAGACCGGUGGCGAAGGCGGAUCUCUGGACAGUUCCUGACGCUGAGGCGCGAAGGCCAGGGGAGCAAACGGG